rnacentral:rRNA from 1 species
AGUGAACGCUGGCGGUAGGCCUAACACAUGCAAGUCGAACGGCAGCACAGGAGAGCUUGCUCUCUGGGUGGCGAGUGGCGGACGGGUGAGGAAUACAUCGGAAUCUACCUUUUCGUGGGGGAUAACGUAGGGAAACUUACGCUAAUACCGCAUACGACCUUCGGGUGAAAGCAGGGGACCUUCGGGCCUUGCGCGGAUAGAUGAGCCGAUGUCGGAUUAGCUAGUUGGCGGGGUAAAGGCCCACCAAGGCGACGAUCCGUAGCUGGUCUGAGAGGAUGAUCAGCCACACUGGAACUGAGACACGGUCCAGACUCCUACGGGAGGCAGCAGUGGGGAAUAUUGGACAAUGGGCGCAAGCCUGAUCCAGCCAUACCGCGUGGGUGAAGAAGGCCUUCGGGUUGUAAAGCCCUUUUGUUGGGAAAGAAAAGCAGCCGGCUAAUACCUGGUUGUUCUGACGGUACCCAAAGAAUAAGCACCGGCUAACUUCGUGCCAGCCGCCGCAGUAA